rnacentral:rRNA from 1 species
UUCUGAGCUUAGAGUUUGAUCCUGGCUCAGAGCGAACGCUGGCGGCAGGCCUAACACAUGCAAGUCGAACGGAUCCUUCGGGAUUAGUGGCGGACGGGUGAGUAACACGUGGGAACGUGCCCUUUGGUUCGGAACAACUCAGGGAAACUUGAGCUAAUACCGGAUGUGCCCUUCGGGGGAAAGAUUUAUCGCCAUUGGAGCGGCCCGCGUCUGAUUAGCUAGUUGGUGGGGUAAAGGCCCACCAAGGCGACGAUCAGUAGCUGGUCUGAGAGGAUGAUCAGCCACAUUGGGACUGAGACACGGCCCAAACUCCUACGGGAGGCAGCAGUGGGGAAUCUUGCGCAAUGGGCGAAAGCCUGACGCAGCCAUGCCGCGUGAAUGAUGAAGGUCUUAGGAUUGUAAAAUUCUUUCACCGGGGACGAUAAUGACGGUACCCGGAGAAGAAGCCCCGGCUAACUUCGUGCCAGCAGCCGCGGUAAUACGAAGGGGGCUAGCGUUGCUUGGAAUUACUGGGCGUAAAGGGAGCGUAGGCGGACUGUUUAGUCAGAGGUGAAAGCCCAGGGCUCAACCUUGGAAUUGCCUUUGAUACUGGCAGUCUUGAGUACGGAAGAGGUAUGUGGAACUCCGAGUGUAGAGGUGAAAUUCGUAGAUAUUCGGAAGAACACCAGUGGCGAAGGCGACAUACUGGUCCGUUACUGACGCUGAGGCUCGAAAGCGUGGGGAGCAAACAGGAUUAGAUACCCUGGUAGUCCACGCCGUAAACGAUGAGUGCUAGUUGUCGGCAUGCAUGCAUGUCGGUGACGCAGCUAACGCAUUAAGCACUCCCGC